AGAGACAGAGGCGAGGCCCGGGAGACAUGGGGAACCUGGAACCAAAGUCCACUCCAACCCAGGGAAGAGGAGAACAGAGGAGGCUCUGGACGCCACUAAAAACCCAUGUGUGAAGGUGCGCUGCCCUCCUCACAGAGUGUGUGUCAGCCACGACUAUCAGACAGCCAUCUGCACCAACACCAACGACAAGCAGCCUGCACACAGUGUGAAACCGAGGAAAGGAAGCUUGGCCCACAAACACAGGGCAGGGGCCCAUGGGAAGUGUAGGCCAUGCCCUGUCAUCCACCCCAGCCCUGUGUGUGGAUCUGAUGGACACACCUACUCCUCUAAGUGUACGCUGGAGUUCCAGGAGUGUAAGUCAGGGAAGAACAUCGCUCUGAAGUGUGGGGGACCGUGUCCGUGUCUGCCUGAUCUGGACCUGGUCAAACCACACAGCCACAAAACAGAGA